AAGAAAAAACUCCUCAAAGUGACGAACUUAGUUAGUCAAGUCCCUGUUGAAGUCCGUCAAACUGUACUCUACGAAUCAUCCCUAUCAGUUUGACAAAUCCUCUUGGUCAGUUAAUCAGAUAACCCCACUUCCGAUCUCCAGUGAAGUAACACUUCCCGCCACUAAAGAGCAUCUCUUUGUGUGAUCAUAUUUCAAGGAGUGACCGCUACUACGUAUACGCGUGCAUGAUGCAGUCUUUUCAAAAGAUCAACACAUCCCUCUCUAAAGGAAGCUUAUUUCGUCGACAAAGUAUACAAUUAGUAAAAAGAAGUGCCUGCUUACGAGGAUUUCCAUAUAUUUUCAAGGAAAAGAUGUAUGUUUUGAAAAGUGUUGAAAGUGACAUGCAGGAGGACUAAGCAGGGAUGAAACUGAAGUACAU